rnacentral:tRNA from 1 species
GCCUGGAUAGUUCAGUGGUAGAACGCUUCCAUGGUAAGGAAGAGGUCGCGAGUUCAAUCCUCGCUCCAGGCUCCA